GUGAGCUUCCAAACCCUCCAAACUUCAUUCCCUAAUUUUUUAGAUUUUUCACUUUUUAAAAAACAAAAAAACCCCACAUUCACACAAUUCCUAGAUUUUCCAUUUAUAAAAAAAAAACAAAAAACAAACCCACAUUUAUUUGUCUCACACACAUCCAUAUCCACGUUCACCUGUGUCACACACUUCCAACCCCCACCCGCCUUUGUCUCAAUUUCGGUUGAAUAGCCCUAACACUAUCAAUCGCCACGACCCCACGCCUGCUUACACUGCUCUGGCAUCCAUCUCUCUCUCUCCACUCCUCAACCGCCACCACCCCACGCCUCUCUCCCACACCCACACCCACACCCUCACCCUCACCCUCACCCUCACCCCUCUCUCUCACUCACUCUCUCAUGGGCUAUGAAUACCCCUCUUCACUCCUCGCACAAUCUUUCACCAAGUUCCUUCGCUGCCAACCACCGCCCCACCCCCACUCUCUCCAUCUGAAGCUAUGUUCAGAGGUGAGGGGCGUCUUCCAGAGGCGAGGUUCAGAGACGAUGGGUCAAUUGUUAGAUCAUGAGCCUUCAGGGGUUUCUUCAAUUCAACCAAGUAAGUUGAUUUUCUCUUCACUGAGUUCAACAGAAACGAUAGAUUGGACCCCAAUUCCAUUUUCUCUUCAAUUUUUUUCCCCUAAAAUUGUUUAAAGUUUUGACAAUUGAAAGCAAUUCGAAUCUCACACCGCUCAGUUCUGCUAACCACUAGGUAUGAUUUCCUCUCUAUUGCUCUCUCUGAUGUCCUCUGUAUGGGGUGGUUUUUUGGCCAGCAUCGGUAUGGUGUUAAUUCAUGUAGAUGUAUUGUAUUUGGUCAUAAAUUUUUUAUUUCACGAAUUGAAAUUGAGUUGGGUAUUGAUGAGUUUUUACUUUGAGUACUAUCUAAGUUAUUCUGUCUCUAAAUGUUACUUUAGUCGUGUAGUUGACACAUGAAGUAGUUACCUCAUAAAUGUGUAUCUGUGCCUUACUUUAAUUAAUUGGAAUUUAUAUCCAAGGGUCAUAUGUCUAAUUUUGUGCCGUGAAAGAAAUGUAUAUUGAAUAUAUAAGCCAAUAAGUGAGAGAUAUACAAUAAUAUGGUGAUGAGAUAAGGUUAAUUGAUGGGACUACGUAUUCUAUCGGAUUUUGUGUUCCUUCACUAUUUGUCCCGUCAAAGCUACAACCCCAUAUAAUUUGAGGAUCAUUUAGGCCCCGACAUAUUGAAAUAGUGUUGGUUAUGAACUUAUGUUUGGUAUCGGUAUUUGUGAAUUUUAUUGCUGCCAUUAUUUUUGUUGGGGAAGGCUUAAUUAGUUUUCCUUUUUGUUGGUUGGUGUUAACAAAACAAUAGUGCAUCAUGUCAGCCCAUUAGUUACAAUGAAAACCAAUUUCUGAACAAGAGGGAUAAUCCUAUUUCCAACCUGACCAGUAUGGCAGUCCCAAACUCUCAUAGUAUUGUCCUUACCUUAUUCAUAGUUUCUGUUUUUGUAGGAAUAUAGAAUAGGAAUAAUCAAGUGGCCAUAGUCCAUUGUGCAUUUUCAAAUGGGGUUUUAGGUUUUUGUUUUUGGUUCUUUGUACCCU